GACGGAGGGUGCUAGCGUUGUUCGGAAUUACUGGGCGUAAAGGCGCGUAGGCGGCUACGGCAGUCGGGUGUGAAAGCCCGGGGCUCAACCCCGGAACUGCAUCCGAUACUCUGUGGCUAGAGACCGGAAGAGGUGGGUGGAAUACCCAGUGUAGAGGUGAAAUUCGUAGAUAUUGGGUGGAACACCGGUGGCGAAAGCGGCUCACUGGUCCGGUUCUGACGCUGAGGCGCGAAAGCGUGGGAGCAACAGG
rnacentral:rRNA from 1 species